CCUACGGGAGGCAGCAGUGGGGAAUAUUGGACAAUGGGGGGAACCCUGAUCCAGCCAUGCCGCGUGUGUGAAGAAGGCCCUCGGGUUGUAAAGCACUUUCAGUGAGGAAGAACGCCUGGUGGUUAAUACCCAUCAGGAAAGACAUCACUCACAGAAGAAGCACCGGCUAACACCGUGCCAGCAGCCGCGGUAAUACGGAGGGUGCGAGCGUUAAUCGGAAUUACUGGGCGUAAAGCGCGCGUAGGUGGCUUGAUAAGCCGGUUGUGAAAGCCCCGGGCUCAACCUGGGAACGGCAUCCGGAACUGUCAAGCUAGAGUGCAGGAGAGGAAGGUAGAAUUCCCGGUGUAGCGGUGAAAUGCGUAGAGAUCGGGAGGAAUACCAGUGGCGAAGGCGGCCUUCUGGACUGACACUGACACUGAGGUGCGAAAGCGUGGGUAGCAAACAGGAUUAGAUACCCCGGUAGUC
rnacentral:rRNA from 1 species